CCAAAAGGAUUUAUAAUAUGAAUUUGUCAAGACUAUCUAUGUUAGCAUCCAGUGAUCACCUUGAAUGAAAUUGUGCACCGAAUACACACUAACAUGAUCAGCCGGAGUCCGACUGCUCCACCACACUCUUGCAGACAAAUUAGACCCCAACCCCACAUUACCAAACUCCCCAAAGUAAAGUGUCUUCAACGCAAACUCACCAUCCCAGCGCAUCCAUCCAAAUGGUGACACAAUUCCCUCCAAUCUACACCUCAAAAACACACUCCUUGAGUACUCCUUCCAUGGUCUCCCAAGAAACACACUAGGGUUUUUGGGGAGCAACUGCAUGUAUUCUGGGGUGCCACUUACUACGCAAUCUUGGAACACGAAUCCGGUGGUCUGCGCAGGGUCGAACCGACCAUGCGCUGAGAUGACGCUGUUGCCCGCUUUUACGAGCUCGCGAGGGCGGACGAGGAUGGUGCAGUUAUGGAAGAUAGCAGCCGAGUUGCCGAAGAUGAAGUCGACAUUGCCUUGGAUGAUACAUGAUUUGUAGUACUGACGGAGGGUAUGAGCAUAUAGAGUGUCUUGAUUACCGAUGAAUUCGCAGUUUUCGAUCAUGGAUAAAUCACUGUCUGACCGGAAAGCUACUGCUUGUUGACCCUCUGGACCAGCUGUGUUUUGGAUUGUUAGAUCUCUUGCCAUGAAACCAUCACCGACAACCCCUUGGCUGUAUUGUAUGUUGGCAUCCCAAGCUUACCGACAUUCAAGGACCCCGAAAUUACUGUUUUACCAAUACCAUCCCCAAUCAACAUAACAUUUCUCUUUGCCAACCCAACACGAACAACCUCUUCAUAAACACCCUCCUUUAUCAUAAUCACGAACCGUCGUUCACCACCAAGGUUAUCCGGAGCCGCAUCCACCGCCAUCUGAACCAUCUCAAAACUACAUACGCCAGCCCCUUUGCACACGGUCACAUUCUGCUUCAAACCCGCAGGAACCAUAGGUUCAUGACCCGACGAGCCACCACCGACACUCUCCCACACCCCAUUCCUCUCAGUCCUCGGAGGGCCCCACCAACUAGUUCGGUUUCCAAAUCUUUCGUAUGACAUCAUCAUGCUUAAUGCGUUACUUGUGGACGUCAUCAACGUGUUGUUCAUGAACAACACCGUUUUGGCCACCAGUUGUGUGUCGUUGACCUUCUUCAACCCGGACAAGCAAUCGAACUGGUAGCUUAAGGCCGCGCUCGUCCAAGCACGUGCGUCCUUCAUUCGGCUAUGUUGUAAAUUAAAGCCUUCUUGGAAGAUGUGAGACGGUACACCGAGUGGCGGAGGGACUCCACGCAGAGUUCCGCGGUCGUUGUGAGGUUAUGGUUGUCCGCGUUGUGCUUGUCUUUUAAGAUCCUUUGGACCAUGGACUCUGCUGUGGCAAGGUUCUUAGAAGACAGGGACAACGUGGACAGUAGGAUUUGGUAAGGCUUAGGAUCCGUAGGGACUAUACCGGAUUUGGUGAGUGAAACAUGACAUGUUUUCGGAAACCUUGUGGCUUUGCAAGCUUCUUUGAUGGCAGAUGAUGUAGCUUGGACACAGUUACGGUGGUGAUAGGCGGCAGUGUAGAUGAAAAACAAGAAACAUAAGUGAAAAUGCGGGGCCAUGAAAUAUGGUAACAAGAAAUGGCAAAGGUUAACUUGGAGAGUGUUUUGAAAAUUGUGUGGAUCACGGGAUGGAUCUGAUUUUAUGGUGUGAAGCAGUAC
rnacentral:lncRNA from 1 species